AAGUGUACGCAUAAUUAAUGUAAAAUUUUAUACAUUUGUAGAAAUAGGAAAAUAAAGGAAACUUUUUUUCCUAAUUGCAUACAAUACCGGUAGGCAAUUAUGCUUUAUUGAGUAUGAGCAUAUUUGUUAGGACCCGAGAGGCUUUGAACUAAGCGUGAUGAGAUUGAAGUCAGACGAAAGUCUGAUGGAGGAUCGAAUUGAUACUGACGUGCAAAUCGUUCAUUUCAAUCACGUUUAGGGGCGAAAGACUAAUCGAAAAGCCUAUUAGCUGGUUAUUUUCGAAAGAUCUCUCAGGAUCGCUGGAGUUGAUACAUAUAAUUUUACCAGGUAGAGAUAAUGAUUAGAGGACUCAGGGAAACAGUUUUCCUUGACCUAUUCUCAAACUCCCAAUAGGUAAAAAGAGUAAUAUAUCUUAAUUUUUUUUGUAUAUUACUCACUUAAAUAAAAUAACUCCAAGUGGGCCAUUUUUGGUAAGCAGAACUGGCGAUGAGGGAUGCUCCUAACGCUUGGAUAAGGUGCCUAAACUAUUCGCUCAUCAGAUCCCAUAAAAGGUGUUGGUUCAUAAGGACAGUAGGACGGUGGUCAUGGAAGUCGAAAUCCGCUAAGGAGUGUGUAACAACUCACCUACCGAAUGAACUAGCCCUGAAAAUGGAUGGCGCUAAAGCGAAUUACCGAUACCAAGCCAUAAAAAGAAGAGAAAAGGAUGUUACAUCCUUUUUAGAACCUUUUUAUGAGUAGAAAAUCGUGGGGUUUGUGUAGAAGCAAAAUACGUGAGUUUUUGUGGAACAUAUCCCUAGUGCAGAUCUUGGUGGAAGUAGCAAUUAUUCAAAUGAGAACUUUGAAGACUGAAGUGGAGAAGGGUUUCUUGUCAACUGUGAUUGUACAAGAGUUAGCCGCUCCUAAGAGGUAGCUGAAAAGUGUUUAAACAUAGAAGGAAAUAUAAGGAAAUGUAUAUAUGCCUUCUUGUCUCAAAAGGGAAACAGGUUAAUAUUCCUGUGCCGAAGGGAAAUAAGCGUGCUUAUAUAGAUGGUAACAUAUAUACAAAUGAACUCCUUUACAUAGGCUUUACUCUCGGGGUGCGUUUUCUUUGCACUUUACCUUUAUAGUAAACCUUGGAAUCAAUUUACUUGGAGAAAAGGUUUACUGAACUCAAUUCAAAAAAAUAAUUAUAUGGGAAGGAAACCCCUUCCUGUAUUUUUAGUAUUUUUGUUUUGUAGCAAUAAUAAUUCGUUUUUCUGAAUUAUCCGAAGUAGUAAGGACUAUCCUUGAAAAAAGGGGGGAACAGCCAAUAAAGGGGAAGUAGGAUUUCGCCAACAUAAACUCUUUAUUUGUAACUCUUAUUUCUUGUAUGAGCGUACCAACAACCGCAUCAGGUCUCCAAGGUUAACAGCCUCUGGUUAAAUAGAAAAAAGUAAGUAAGGGAAGUCGGCAAAAUAGAUCCGUAACUUCGGGAUAAGGAUUGGCUCUGAGGACAUUAGAAAAAAGAAGAAAGAGACGGAAGAAGAAAUAGAGGUAUAGAGGUAUUUACAUAGCGUAAGUUAUAUAAGUACUUCUAUACCUUGUUUUUCUUUUUUAAUCUUUUUCUCACCCUUUUUUCGCCUUCUUUUUAUAUUAUAUGCAAAUAUAAUAUAAAAGGAUACCUAUAAUGUUAACUCAGAACUGAAACGGACAAAGGGAAUCC